AUUUCAGCUCCAGUAGCGUAUAUUAAUGUUGUUGCAGUUAAAAAGCUCGUAGUUGGAUUUCUGACUUGACGCGCCUGGCCCGCCUUGCAUUUCGCGGGUGAGUGCCGGAGCGCGUCGGUCAUCCUUCUAGAGAACGGCGCUACCCUUCACUGGGUCGGCGUCGCAAUCUAGAUCUUUUACUUUGAAAAAAUUAGAGUGUUCAAGGCAGGCUCGCGCUGUGAAUACAUUAGCAUGGAAUAAUAAUCUAGGACUUUGUUCCUAUUUUGUUGGUUUCUAGGAAUUAAGUAAUGAUUGAUAGGGAUAGUUGGGGGUGCUAGUAUUCAGCGGCCAGAGGUGAAAUUCUUGGAUUCGCUGAAGACUAACUUAUGCGAAAGCAUUCACCAAGGAUGUCUUCAUCA
rnacentral:rRNA from 1 species